rnacentral:misc_RNA from 1 species
UCAAACUUGGUCAUUUAGAGGAAGUAAAAGUCGUAACAAGGUUUCCGUAGGGUAAGCAACUCCCAAUCCCCAAUACUAUACUCUUUUUAGGAUCAAUUACUAACCAAGUUUCCAGUGAACCUGCGGAAGGAUCAUUAUCGAGUUCAUGAGAAUCUGAUUCUCAAACUCCCACCCCUUGUGUAUCAAACAAUGUUGCUUCGGCAGGACGUCAGAUCUGAUCUGCCUCUGGCCUUUGGGCUAGGGUGUUCUCUUGCCGGGGGUAUCAUAUACACUGAUUCAAUUGAGUCGUCUGAUUCAAACAUAUAAUGUUUAAAACUUUCAACAACGGAUCUCUUGGUUCUGGCAUCGAUGAAGAACGCAGC